CAAGAGAGAUGACCAGUCAAACAAGAGUACUUAGGGCUGCAAGCACCCAAAGGAUUACCUACUGAUAAAGCCAAGGCAGGCCAGCAUUUAUGUGUUUCAUCACAGUUCAGUCAUAUAAUUUAGAUUACCUAGUUUAGGUUACACUUUAGGGUGCCCUUGCACUUUAAAGUCAGCCAAACAAAUGUCAAUAUCACAAACACCUAUCUGGCACAGAUCUGCUAGCUGCCGUCUGGGUUGGGAAAUGCAGAAUAAAUCUUGAGAUGAGCUCACUUCUAUAACUUUGAUACAGUUUACCGCCAUGGCUCAAGGCUGAAGUUACUGUUUAGCAUGUUUUGUUUUCAUUACUGUCCAACAUAAUGUGCACCAAGAUCAAAGAGUUUCAAUGGACUGACGAAGAGCAAGGCAAUUCAAAAUGAGGAAAAGUAGGGCACUUCCAGAGGGUGGGAUAAGUUGCCUUUUCUCACAACUUCUUUGAACUAAACAACAACAGAACUAUAGCCUUCUUUUUUGUGGAAGAUGUCAUUUGCAUUUUUUAUUUUUAAUGGUUUACUUUUAAUUGUCUUCGAAAGACACGACACUUAAAUGUCACAUUUAAAAAAAGUUCUUUCAUGACAUGGCAGCAAAUUCUGACAAAUAACUGAAUGACCUGAAACUAAAUUAAUUUCCUGAAAUCAGUUUUUACAUGAUUUAAAAUGAUACUCUUGAAAUGAGUUUGUCACAAGUUUAGGCACGCAAACAAACGGAAUCCCGCCCUUCACAGAACCCCCCCAAAACACACACACACACACACGACCACCACCAGUUGCUAGUACACAUGGUAUAGGCUUCAGUACAUUUCAUUCGAGAUACCAACAGAAAAGGAAGAGGGAAUGCUUAUUUGAGGAAAUGACGAGUUACACCUGCUUGUUGUGUUUUUUUAAGAAAAUGUAUUCUUGUUGGUCAUCUACCCGCUACUGUGUGCACCCUAUUAAAAAGGUAAGAAAGUGGAGAAUUUGUUGAGCUAAGGGUAGUUAUCCAUAGGUUAUCCAUAGCUGUGUUAACUCCUAGCUAGCCUAACUUGACUGAGGGGCUGAAUUCUUUAAAGCGUCGCUUGAGUAAACAAUGCUUAUGAAUUGUGUAACGAUGGCUAAAUUUCACAACCCUAACAAUAACGAGUAGGUGUGGCAUUGAGAAUUUAUCAGGCUUAUCAGGCUCAUCUUAAAGUGUGGGUCAGUUGUAUCUGUGGCUAACGCUAACAUCGACUGGCUAACUAAUCAAGUCAUCGUUUAACUUUCAGCAUUGCUACCUUGAAAGCUAACUUACUUUCCAUAUGAAAACGAACCCGUGGACUGUCCAGGUUUCUAGCUUGUAUUGUCUUGUCAUAGAUUUUUACGUUAGCUUAUGUUAAGUUUCUUCGUUUGGCAUAUAAUUGUGGUUGUAGGAAACAUUAUGUCAGGAAAUUACUGCAGCAAGGAAGACAAAGUUGUCCUUGAGUAACAAGGCCUAACGUUGAAUUUCAGUGUAGUAAGUAGGGAGUGCCCAUGGUAUUUAGAUAAUGAAAAGAGUGAAUGUCUUCACAUAUGUAAAGAAGAUAUAUUAAAGAGGUGCUUCACCCUUAAGUAUGUUUUUUUUUUUUUUUGGAAACUCAAUGAUGUCACUGUACUGUGAUGAACAUGUUGAUGCUGAUAUUGACAUAAUUAAUUCAAAAACAUUGAUAUAAAAGGUGGAUUUUAUGGGUUGAAAAUGACUCAAUGCGUCAUCUACAGUUUAAAAUCAUCCUGAACCUUGCAAGGCAGAAGCUGACAUAAAGGGAACCCCUUGGGACUUGUCUAGGUCAUGAUUAGAACAAUAUUUGAAUGUAGUAAACUCUCAGCCACUUGCCUGCCUUUUAGCAUUUUAGCCUCAGAGCUGAAUGAUAACGAUAGGCCAAACGAUAUGGACUUCAUAGAUACCCAUGCCUUUGCAUUUGCUUUUCAGUCAGAAACCUGAAAAGACUCCAGACAAAGACUAGGAGAAAGAAGCAGCGGAUGCCUGGGAAACGAGGCUGCUGCGCUGAACUCACGCUGGCCGUUGAGCAGCCACUGUCUGCUGCAUACUGAUGUGUGGCGACGAGACUGGGCUUCCACAGACCAGGACAAGCGACACCUCAUUUGUGUACACAGGUGCAGACCAGACUCACUUCUCCUUGGCAUGGAGGAUACCAGUCUUGCACACAUUUCUGGAAAGAUGUUCUGUCAUUCUUCAGAGAUUUCUGUGUCAGUGAUCAGAGGUGUGUUCAGUGUUCGAGUUUCUACUUUGAGGCCUGUAUUUUCAGGUAAGUCUUUCUAAAGUAUUUGUUUUUGAUUGUUCCUAAGAGGAAAUACUGUACUGUGCCAUGCAAAUAUUGAGUGGUGAUACUAUUUUGAUCAUUUAACAUUUUACUGAUAUUGCACAUCAUUUCAGACUAAGACACAGAGACAAAGUAACAUGGAUUCAUAAAUGCCAGUAUGGUAGCAAGGUUCAUUUAAAUUAUUUAACUAUAAUAGUUAGUUGGACUACCUAUUGAAACACUCCACUUUGCAAACUAAAUAUGCCAAAGAAAUUCAAGUCUGUGGAUGAAACAAAUUUGUUUAAUGUCUUGAUACCUCUGAUAUUUAUCUAGCUUUUGAUAGCAAAAUAACACUGAAAAUAUCUAUUUUUUUUAGUUUUCUAAACCUGCAUAUGACAGCCUUUAACUGUCUUUGCACUUCACAGAUUGGAACAUGUUAAGGCUAUUAAGUGAUCCAUCCAUUUGGAAGGAUCUGAAUCUGAAUACUGUUUUGCUACUUUGUUUAGGAAUAGUCAGUUUAUUUCAUUUUAUUAAUUGUUUUUUUAUCUGUAUAACUAUACCACCAUCAAAUGAUUUCAAACAAAUGUCUAACUACAACGGAUCGUAAUCUUUGAUAGAGAUAUGAAUUAAGGGAAAGAUAGAAGUAAAGUAAAUUAUUUAUUAACAACAGCUGAUACACAAUGACAAAUGAUCAAAAUAAUAAUUAAUAAUAUUAUGUCUCUCUGACAAUGUACUACUUGUUCACCAAAGACUUAUCUGUUCACAAAGGACUUACAAACAUCCACGCAACUCGGCCAGCAGACUGUUAAAUAGUUUGAUGACUGUCACAAUAACUAUUACAGCUGAAUAACCUGGCAGAGGCAGUAACUUGAGUGUCAAAUCAUCACACAGUUCUGCUGUCUUAGAAUUAAUCCUGCCCAGAUAGUGCUUCACCUAGACCUAGACGUAAAAACUGGCCCCAUCUCAAAAGAAAAAAGUGAUAAAAGCUAUCUAGAAGCUCAAGAGGAGGACAGCGCCAAGGCCAAACAACAUCCCUCCAGAACCCACAGCAGACAUCAUGGUUUGCCUACUACAAGAUGCCUGGGAAAGAGAAGAAGUACCAUAG